rnacentral:rRNA from 1 species
CUACGGGGUGCUCCAGUGAGGAAUUUUGCGCAAUGGGGGAAACCCUGACGCAGCAACGCCGCGUGAGUGAAGAAGGCCCUUGGGUCGUAAAGCUCUGUCAAUGGGGAAGAAGUUAUUAUGUGUUAAUAGCACAUUUUAUUGACGGUACCCAUGAAGGAAGCACCGGCUAACUCCGUGCCAGCAGCCGCGGUAAUACGGGGGGUGCAAGCGUAUUCGGAAUUAUUGGGCGUAAAGGGCACGCAGGCGGUCCUGUCAGUCAGAUGUGAAAGCCCGGGGCUCAACCCCGGACGUGCAUUUGAAACAGCAGGACUUGAGUGCGGGAGAGGAAAGGGGAAUUCCUGGUGUAGAGGUGAAAUUCGUAGAUAUCAGGAGGAACACCGGUGGCGAAGGCGCCUUUCUGGACCGAUACUGACGCUGAGGUGCGAAGGCGUGGGUAGCGAACGGGAUUAGAUACCCCCGUAGUC